rnacentral:tRNA from 1 species
GGCCUCGUGCUGGAAUGGUAGACAGUCUGGACUUAAAAUCCAGUGGGAUUUAUCCCGUGCCGGUUCGAGUCCGGCCGAGGCUACCA